rnacentral:ncRNA from 12 species
UGCGAUGAGUCGAGAGGUCUGGUAGCAACCCAAAUAGCUACCAUAAGACAUUUCGAAUGUGGGGCACAAAACUCACCGGAUUGUGAGGUGCCCGGAAAUAGUCGGAGUGGACACUGG